AGUGAACGCUGGCGAUAGGCCUAACACAUGCAAGUCGAACGGCAGCACAGUAAGAGCUUGCUCUUACGGGUGGCGAGUGGCGGACGUGUGAGGAAUACAUCGUAAUCUACUUUUUCGUGGGGGUUAACGUAGGGAAACUUACUCUAAUACCGCAUACGACCUACGGGUGAAAUCAUUGGAUCUUCGGACCUUGCGCGAUUGAAUGAGCCGAUGUCGGAUUAGCUAGUUGGCGGGGUAAAGGCCCACCAAGGCGACGAUCCGUAGCUGGUCUGAGAGGAUGAUCAGCCACACUGGAACUGAGACACGGUCCAGACUCCUACGGGAGGCAGCAGUGGGGAAUAUUGGACAAUGGGCGCAAGCAUGAUCCAGCCAUACCGCGUGGGUGAAGAAGGACUUCGGGUUGUAAAGACCUUUUGUUGGGAAAGAAAAGCAGCAGGUUAAUACCCCGCUGUUCUGACGGUACCCAAAGAAUAAGCACCGGCUAACUUCGUG
rnacentral:rRNA from 1 species